rnacentral:lncRNA from 1 species
UAAAAAGGACGGAGGACUUCACUUGAGGGAAAGGACCGACUGGCUGACGGACUGGUGGAGCUGACGGACUGGUGGAGCUGGUGGAGCUGACCGACUGGUGGAGGAGAUAAUAAUAACAUGACACCUGCUGACCCACUGAUGAUGGCGUCAGCGAGUAGGACUUGCAUCGCCGUAAAAAGGACUGAGGACUUCAACCGAGGGAAAGGACCGACUGGCUGACGGACUGGUGGAGCUGACGGACUGAUGGAGCUGGUGGAGCUGACCGACUGGAGGAGGAGAUAAUAAUAACAUGACACCUGCUGACCCACUGAUGAUGGCGUCAGCGAGUAGGACUUGCAUCGCCGUAAAAAGGACUGAGGACUUCAACCGAGGGAAAGGACCGACUGGCUGACGGACUGGUGGAGCUGACGGACUGGUGGAGCUGGUGGAGCUGACGGACUGGUGGAGCUGACCGACUGGUGGAGCUGACCGACUGGUCGAGCUGACCGACU